UGGCAAGAUGUUGGCAUAGCUAU
rnacentral:miRNA from 1 species